rnacentral:lncRNA from 1 species
UGCGAGAGACCAGAGAUGGGAGGCGGCUGCUCAGGUGCGAGAGACCAGAGAUGGGAGACGUGUCUGGCGUGGCGGCCCCGCGCAGCACACAAGUACACAAACCCCGGGGAUUAUUGGGCGCGUGAGGUGUCUGGCAUCUGACGCCGGACGCUCCCAGCUGACUCCACGUGGGCGCGACAAGUGGCGGCUGGGUAGCUACGGACCCACAUGAUAGUGACCCAUCUGCUGCUAGGCGUGCUCAUAUUUUAUUUAUCCAAGAUUUUCUCCGGCGUCCCGGUGAGAUUCUUGUGCACACGUUCGAAGAUUCUAGAGGGCGUCACUGGAGAGACCCUCUUAAGACUAUCUCCAAUCGUCGUUCUCUGUAUCCUUCUUUUCUUUGUAUCC